GCGCCGCGUCUCGGGGAGUUGAUGGCAGCACCACAGUGCGGCCGCCCGGCCGUGCGCCGAGCGCAGCCAGCAGCCGCUGCCCUGGGAGCGUCCAAGAUGUGGUGGGAUCGGGGCGGCAGCGGCCGCAGCGGCGCCAGGGACCGGGGCGCGCAGCAGGCUCCGCUCGCCCGCCUGUGCUGACCUGCCUCACUUGCCCCAAAGAAUGUCAGCCAAGUCCAAGGGGACCCCCUCCUCGUCCUCUCCAGCCGAGGGACCGCCGGCAGCCUCCAAAACCAAGGUGAAGGAACAGAUCAAGAUCAUCGUGGAGGAUCUGGAAUUAGUCCUGGGCGACCUGAAGGACGUGGCCAAAGAACUUAAGGAGGUGGUUGACCAGAUUGAUACCCUGACCUCUGACCUACAGCUGGAGGAUGAGAUGACCGACAGCUCCAAAACGGACACCCUCAAUAGUAGCUCCAGCGGCACGACAGCCUCCAGCAUAGAGAAGAUCAAAGUGCAGGCCAAUGCCCCUCUCAUUAAACCCCCAGCCCACCCAUCUGCUAUCCUCACGGUCCUGAGAAAGCCCAACCCUCCGCCACCUCCUCCGCGGCUGACACCUGUGAAGUGUGAAGACCCCCAACGGGUGGUGCCCGCUGUCAAUCCGGUCAAGACCAACGGCACCCUUCUGCGAAAUGGAGGCUUCCCAGGGGCACCAAACAAAAUUCCAAACGGAGACAUCUGCUGCAAACCCAGCAGUCGCUUGGACAAGGCUCCGGUGCAGGCUCUGAUGCAUAGACCUGAAAAAGACAGGUGCCCCCAAGCAGGGCCGCGGGAACGAGUUCGGUUUAAUGAAAAAGUGCAGUACCAUGGCUAUUGCCCUGACUGUGACACCCGGUAUAACAUCAGAAACAGGGAGGUCCACUUACACAGCGAGCCCGUCCACCCGCCAGGAAAGCUCCCUCCCCAAGGCCCUCCCCACCCUCCGCCCUCACAUCUCCCUCCUUUCCCAGUAGAAAAUGGGGGGCUGGGAAUAAGCCACAGUAACAGCUUCCCCCCUCUCAGACCUGCAACUGUGCCUCCUCCCACCGCACCAAAACCGCAGAAGACGAUCUUGAGGAAAUCGACCACUACAACAGUGUGAUAUAUGCCAUUUAAAAAAAACUUUUUCUUUUUUUUUUAAUUUCUAUAUUAUAAACAUAAAAUAAUAAGUAAUGAGCACUUUCUACUCAAGCAAUAAAAAGCCCAAAUAUAUUUAUCCUGCAUUCAGCAAAGUGGCAUAAAAAUCACCUGAUCACACUUACCAAUGGACAAAAGUUCACUUCUUAACUACCAUGAUUUGGACCGAUCAUAUGAUUUGCCCUGGAGUUAGAAAUGAGUCGACUGCCUUAGAAUCGUGAUGACAGCUCCUUCAGGUUGGAAGGAAUACCUUUAUUUGGAGGAUUGUCAGUUCAUUUUUCUCACUUCAAAUUCAUCAUUAUGACUUCUUGAGGCCAGAUCUAAUUUUGCAGUAGCCAGGAACCUGUCCAUCUUGGAGCAGCAAGCCCCUCAACUCUGGAGCACAAAUGAUCACUGAUACGGUCUGCAUAAAGUCAUCUGCCUCUAGUUUGACAGCCAUGAGAAGAGCCCCGGGGGCAAAAAAAGCCACAGCCUUAAAUCUCUUCACUCAGAAAUUACAAAGAAGAUUAAAAUAAAUAAGUAAAUAAAUAAAUAAAUACAUAAAUAAAUAAAUGUAAAGGACUGAGCAAGCAAGCCUACAAAACAAACAAACAAACAAAAAACAACCAAAAAAUAAAACUAACAAAACCCAGCUUAUUUUACCAUGGAAAUAAACAUUCCUAGUUGUGAACCCAAGAAAAUUUAUAUUCAGUAAUUCAGCUAGUGAAUUAUAAAUUGAUUUAUCAUUUGGGAAGGUGAGUAUAGAAACAGAAGGUCACUAUAGCUAGAACUACUCAGCAUUUCAAAAUACUGAGUAGACAAAACAAAAACAAAAACAAAACUGAACAGAGGAACACUGUAGCAAUGAACAGUAUUAGGACAGAAUGUUGCGGUUUGCAGAGAGAGAGAAUGUUUGCCAUUUUGUGUAUGCCCUCAAAGCCAUAAGGGAAUAAGAGCAGUGUUGUCAAUUGCUUGAAAGUUUCUGCAUUCAAUCCUUCACCCCAUAUUGGUUGAGAGAGAGGGAGGUCAGUUGUUACUGAUAAUUUCUCAAUGCUCUUCUACUAUUUGCACUGUCACUUCCAUUCAGGGUAAUGAUGUGUGCUGUUAUUUGCACAGAAGGUCCCUGGAGUUUUGAGACCACAACAGUUUCAUGUAGGAGUCCAAAAAGGAAAGAUUUAAGAAUUCUGCAGACAUUGAUUUCUCUGUCUUCUAUUAAAAGAAAAAAAUCAAUUAUCUCAUAAAAAAAUGGACUCAUCUCAGAUUACAGAACAACUAUAGAAUAACAAUGAAAAAAGCAUCAGUGUGGUCAAAUGAAUGAAAAAGGGAUCAAAAGUUUUUUUAGUGAAGAUCAUUUUAUAUCAUUAACAGCCAAGAAGUUACAAAUACAGUUAACUGUACACUAAACAUCUGUGUUGAACAUCUAUUCUCUUAAUUAAGAAAAUCAUUUGUAAUUUGUAUUUGACAUUUAAGAGUUUUUUAUAGCCAUUUAUCUAUGCUUCAUGGGAAAAUGUACCAGACAAACAGCAUUUUCAGUUUAUUUUUCUAAAUAAAUGUGUUGUUUGUAUUA